rnacentral:ncRNA from 1 species
CGCUGGGGGAGCUUGAAUACCUUUCAGGCUGAGAUAUACCCUUUGAACCUGUUCGGAUAAUGCUGGCGUAGGGAAGCGGAGAAAAU